rnacentral:rRNA from 1 species
GAUGAACGCUGGCGGCGUGCCUAAUACAUGCAAGUCGAACGAAAAUACUUUAUCAUCGAGUGCUUGCCCUUAGCGACAAACGGUUGAGUAACAAAUGGGUGACCAACACGUGGGAAAGGUGUACAAACGAGGGGGCUAACCUAUGGACACAGGUGAUAUUACAGCACAAGCAUCGAUAGUGCAUGGCAAUUAUGUAGACGCUGGUAAUUCUACCGCCGUUGGAUGAGCCAGUGGCGCAUUAGCUAGCUGGUAAGGGAAAGGCUUACCAAGGGAAUGAUGCGGAGCCGAACUGAGAGGUGGAUCCGCCACAUUGGGACUGGGACACGGCCCAAACUCCUAAGGGAGGCAGCAGUAGGGAAUCUUCCACAAUGGGCGGAAACCUGAUGGAGCAACGCCGCGUGGAGUAAGAAGGGCUUCGGAUCGGAAAACCCUGUUGUUAGGGAAGAAAGAGCUUUGUAGUAACUGUUCACGUUUCGACGGUUACUAACCAGAAAGGCACGGCUAACUACGUG